UUUUUUUUUCAAAAUUUGGAACUGUAAGCCAGAAAUUCAGACCAGUGAGUGGGAAGCUGUAGAAGCCAUUCAAAAAAGGACCCCUUUCAAACUGAAAGCCAUGGAGAUAAAAGGGAACAUUGCUGCAGCCAGACAUAACCCUCUGCCUUUGCCAGGACAGAAGAAAGGCUGGAAGCAGAGAAAGGAACACAGUGUCCUCCUUAUACAACCCCUUAACACCAGGAAAAGGACCAUGAUCCAUCAGACUCUCCCACUGUCCACAACACUGUCACUUUGGCCCUUCACUGUCACAUAAUCCUACUUGUGCUAGAAAAGGUGCCUGAGAGACCCAAAUGACAAGAACUAGCCAA